GGAGGGGUGGCUGAGUGGCCGAAAGCACUGGUCUUGAAAACCAGCGAUUCGUGAGGAUCCCAGGGUUCGAAUCCCUGCCCCUCCGCCA
rnacentral:tRNA from 1 species